rnacentral:rRNA from 1 species
UACGUAGGGGGCUAGCGUUGUCCGGAAUCAUUGGGCGUAAAGAGCGUGUAGGCGGCCCGGUAAGUCCGCUGUGAAAGUCGGGGGCUCAACCCUCGAAUGCCGGUGGAUACUGUCGGGCUAGAGUGCGGAAGAGGCGAGUGGAAUUCCUGGUGUAGCGGUGAAAUGCGCAGAUAUCAGGAGGAACACCGGUGGCGAAGGCGGCCUGCUGGGCAGUGGCUGACACUGAGGCGCGACAGCGUGGGGAGCAAACAGG